UACGUAGGGGGCAAGCGUUGUCCGGAUUUAUUGGGCGUAAAAGGCUUGUAGGUGGCCACGCCAAGUCGGAUGUGAAAUCUCCCGGCUCAACUGGGAGGGGUCAUUCGAUACUGGCGGGCUCGAGGCCGGUAGGGGGAAGUGGAAUUCCCGGUGUAGUGGUGGAAUGCGUAGAUAUCGGGAGGAACACCAGUGGCGAAGGCGGCUUCCUGGACCGGUUCUGACACUGAGGAGCGAAAGCGUGGGGAGCGAUCCGG
rnacentral:rRNA from 1 species